GCCGUCCUACGGGACGCAGCAGUGAGGAAUAUUGGUCAAUGGGCGGGAGCCUGAACCAGCCAAGCCGCGUGAGGGAAGAAGGUACAGCGUAUCGUAAACCUCUUUUGUCAGGGAACAAAGGCGGGGACUAGUCCCCGGAUGAGGGUACCUGAAGAAAAAGCAUCGGCUAGCUCCGUGCCAGCAGCCGCGGUAAUACGGAGGAUGCGAGCGUUAUCCGGAUUUAUUGGGUUUAAAGGGUGCGCAGGCGGCCUGUUAAGUCAGCGGUAAAAGCCCGGGGCCCAACCCCGGGACUGCUCUUGGAACUG
rnacentral:rRNA from 1 species